AGCCGCGAGCUGCCGUACUACUUGCGGAGCAACACGAAUGUGCGGAAGCCCCGCCUCCGUACCUUCGCUCCAGUGUCAAGAUAAGCUGUCGCGAUUGUGAUAUAGUGCUUUG
rnacentral:lncRNA from 1 species